UGUGUAGCGUGAAAUGCGUAGAGAUCAGCAGGAACACCCGUGGCGAAGCGGCCCCUGGGCCGAACUGACGCUGAGGCGCGAAGGCUAGGGGAGCGAACGGGAUUAGAUACCCCGGUAGUCCUAGCAGUAAACGAUGGCCACUAGGUGUGGGGGGUGUUGACCCCUUCCGUGCCGAAGCUAACGCAUUAAGUGGCCCGCCUGGGGAGUACGGUCGCAAGACUAAAACUCAAAGGAAUUGACGGGGACCCGCACAAGCAGCGGAGCGUGUGGUUUAAUUCGAUGCAACGCGAAGAACCUUACCAGGGCUUGACAUGCACUCGCAACUCGGGGAAACCCGAGCCUCCUUCGGGACGGGUGCACAGAUGCUGCAUGGCUGUCGUCAGCUCGUGUCGUGAGGUGUUGGGUUAAGUCCCGCAACGAGCGCAACCCUCGUCUUUAGUUGCAAAUCUAAAGAGACUGCCGGAAACAAACCGGAGGAAGGUGGGGAUGAUGUCAAGUCAGCAUGGUUCUUACGUCCUGGGCUACACACACGCUACAAUGGUCGGGACAGAGGGCUGCAAACCCGCGAGGGUGAGCCAAUCCCAGAAACCCUAUCUCAGUCCGGAUUGGAGUCUGCAACUCGACUCCAUGAAGUCGGAAUCGCUAGUAAUCGCAGAUCAGCAUUGCUGCGGUGAAUACGCUCCCGGGCCUUGUACACACCGCCCGUCACACCAUGGGAGUUUGUUGCACCAGAAGCAGGUAGCUUAACCUUCGGGAGGGCGCUUGCCACGGUGUGGCCGAUGACUGGGGUGAAGUCGUAACAAGGUAACCAAGGG
rnacentral:rRNA from 1 species